GCCAGCAGCCGCGGUAAUUCCAGCUCCAAUAGCGUAUAUUUAAGUUGUUGCAGUUAAAAAGCUCGUAGUUGGAUUUCGGAUGGGUUGCUGCGGUCCGCCUCUGGUGAGUACUGCUGUGGCCUAUCUUUCUGCCGGGGACGGGCUCCUGGGCUUCACUGUCCGGGACUCGGAGUCGGCGAUGUUACUUUGAGUAAAUUARAGUGUUCAAAGCAGGCCUACGCUCUGAAUACUUUAGCAUGGAAUAACACGAUAGGACUCUGGCCUAUCUUGUUGGUCUGUAGGACCGGAGUAAUGAUUAAGAGGGACAGUCGGGGGCAUUCGUAUUUCAUUGUCAGAGGUGAAAUUCUUGGAUUUAUGAAAGACGAACUACUGCGAAAGCAUUUGCCAAGGAUGUUUUCAUUAAUCAAGAACGAAAGUUGGGGGCUCGAAGACGAUUAGAUACCGUCGUAGUCUCAACCAUAAACGAUGCCGACUAGGGAUUGGCGG
rnacentral:rRNA from 1 species